rnacentral:rRNA from 1 species
CAAGUCCUACGGGAGGCAGCAGUGAGGAAUAUUGGUCAAUGGGCGCGAGCCUGAACCAGCCAAGUCGCGUGAGGGAAGACGGUCCUAUGGAUUGUAAACCUCUUUUGUCGGGGAGCAAAGGACGCCACGCGUGGCGUUCCGAGAGUACCCGAAGAAAAAGCAUCGGCUAACUCCGUGCCAGCAGCCGCGGUAAUACGGAGGAUGCGAGCGUUAUCCGGAUUUAUUGGGUUUAAAGGGUGCGCAGGCGGAAGAUCAAGUCAGCGGUAAAAUUGAGAGGCUCAACCUCUUCGAGCCGUUGAAACUGG